rnacentral:lncRNA from 1 species
UGUGCCUAAAGGGGCUUUGAGCAAGGCCAAGGACUAGGUUCUGUGUCUUUCCAGAAAUUUCCAAGAAUGCAUCAUACACAGCAUGGUCUCGAUCUCUUCUCGUGGUAUCAGUAUGAUGCCCAAGAGUCGUCACUGCAGAGCAAUGUGCAGAUGGUCAUUUCAUUGUCAUGGUUAUCUAUCUUGAGGGGUUUCCAGGAAUAUUUCCGCUCUUUGUCCUUAUCCUUUUUAGGGUGACGAUGAGACUGAAAUCCUGACAAGCCUGUGAAGAUCUUUACACGAGACUUUAGAGAUGCGGUUCUGCACAGCUUUUCACUGCUACCGCACCAGCAAGGAGGGGUUGUAUAAGCUGUUAUACAUUAGUUUUUCCUUCCUGUCUUUUGAGUCAUCUCUGGAAGGGCUGUGCUCAUUCCUUGCACGGGUUGGUAUGUUGCACCAUGAGGGCAGCCUUCGGCCCAACCUUAGCUUACCUGAUCUCUGCCCUCUCCCAGCUGCCACUUUCCCAGCCUGCCUGCCAGGGCUGAGCAGGCUUGCUGAAGUGUGGGCAGUCGUCCAAGACAAGCAGGCUGAUGUCGUUGAUCAGGCCAGACGCUCCUGUGGUCCUCCUGCCCCCUGCUCCUGCUGCGCGCCGACUCGUUCCAUCGCUCUGUCCUUCGGCCGCGCCGAGGUCGAGCCGCGUGGUGCCGGCUCCGCGCUCUUCUGCGGGGCUGUGGCCAGGCUGCCGUGA